GAUGAACGCUGGCGGCGUGCCUAAUUCAUGCAAGUCGAGCGAACAGAUGAGGAGCUUGCUCCUCUGACGUUAGCGGCGGACGGGUGAGUAACACGUGGAUAACCUACCUAUAAGACUGGGAUAACUUCGGGAAACCGGAGCUAAUACCGGAUAAUAUAUUGAACCGCAUGGUUCAAUAGUGAAAGACGGUUUUGCUGUCACUUAUAGAUGGAUCCGCGCCGCAUUAGCUAGUUGGUAAGGUAACGGCUUACCAAGGCAACGAUGCGUAGCCGACCUGAGAGGGUGAUCGGCCACACUGGAACUUAGACACGGUCCAGACUCCUACGGGAGGCAGCAGUAGGGAAUCUUCCGCAAUGGGCGAAAGCCUGACGGAGCAACGCCGCGUGAGUGAUGAAGGUCUUCGGAUCGUAAAACUCUGUUAUGAGGGAAGAACAAAUGUGUAAGUAACUAUGCACGUCUUGACGGUACCUAAUCAGAAAGCCACGGCUAACUACGUG
rnacentral:rRNA from 1 species